rnacentral:RNase_P_RNA from 1 species
GCGAGCCGGUGGGCAGCCUCCGAGCAUCAAGCUUGAGGAAACUCCACCCACAAUGCGGAGGCGCGACACAUAAAGUGUCAGGUGAGAACCUGGGUUCAGGCACAGAAAAAACCUCCCAUAAACCUUAAACCAUGAUGCGGGGACGCUGAGCGGUUUAUGGGAGGGUGAAAAGCCUACCCGCGCUGUGAAAGGGGUAAUAGGUGCCGAUGAGCUCCGCACGAGGUGCGGGUACCCCGAUUAGACAAAUGCUGCCUAAAACAGAAGGUGGGUUACGGCCGGCACGC